rnacentral:rRNA from 1 species
UACGUAGGGUGCAAGCGUUGUCCGGAAUUAUUGGGCGUAAAGAGCUCGUAGGCGGUUCGUCGCGUCGGCUGUGAAAUCCCGAGGCUCAACCUCGGGUCUGCAGUCGAUACGGGCGGACUGGAGUUCGGCAGGGGAGACUGGAAUUCCCGGUGUAGCGGUGAAAUGCGCAGAUAUCGGGAAGAACACCCGUGGCGAAGGCGGCUCUCUGGGACGGUACUGACGCUGAGACGCGAAAGCGUGGGGAGCGAACAGG